rnacentral:rRNA from 1 species
UGAGGAAUAUUGCGCAAUGGGGGCAACCCUGACGCAGCGACGCCGCGUGAGUGAGGAAGGCCUUCGGGUCGUAAAGCUCUGUCAAAGGGAAAGAAGUGCAUGGUGGCUAAUACCUGCCAUGUUUGACGGUACCCUUAAAGGAAGCACCGGCUAACUCCGUGCCAGCAGCCGCGGUAAUACGGAGGGUGCAAGCGGUGUGCGGAAUCACUGGGCGUAAAGGGCGCGUAGGCGGUUUGAGAAGUCAGAUGUGAA